rnacentral:rRNA from 1 species
CCUACGGGAGGCAGCAGUGGGGAAUAUUGGGCAAUGGGCGAAAGCCUGACCCAGCAACGCCGCGUGAAGGAAGAAGGCUUUCGGGUUGUAAACUUCUUUUGACAGGGAAGAGCAGAAGACGGUACCUGUCGAAUAAGCCACGGCUAACUACGUGCCAGCAGCCGCGGUAAUACGUAGGUGGCAAGCGUUGUCCGGAUUUACUGGGUGUAAAGGGCGUGUAGCCGGGCUGACAAGUCAGAUGUGAAAUCCGGGGGCUCAACCCCCGAACUGUAUUUGAAACUGUUGGUCUUGAGUAUCGGAGAGGCAGGCGGAAUUCCUAGUGUAGCGGUGAAAUGCGUAGAUAUUAGGAGGAACACCAGUGGCGAAGGCAGCCUGCUGGACGACAACUGACGGUGAGGCGCGAAAGCGUGGGGAGCAAACAGGAUUAGAUACCCUAGUAGUC